GACGAACGCUGGCGGCGUGCUUAACACAUGCAAGUCGAACGGAAAGGCCCUGCUUUUGUGGGGUGCUCGAGUGGCGAACGGGUGAGUAACACGUGAGUAACCUGCCCUUGACUUUGGGAUAACUUCAGGAAACUGGGGCUAAUACCGGAUAGGAGCUCCUGCUGCAUGGUGGGGGUUGGAAAGUUUCGGCGGUUGGGGAUGGACUCGCGGCUUAUCAGCUUGUUGGUGGGGUAGUGGCUUACCAAGGCUUUGACGGGUAGCCGGCCUGAGAGGGUGACCGGCCACAUUGGGACUGAGAUACGGCCCAGACUCCUACGGGAGGCAGCAGUGGGGAAUAUUGCACAAUGGGCGGAAGCCGGAUGCAGCAACGCCGCGUGCGGGAUGACUGCCUUCGGGGUGUAAACCGCUUUCGCCUGUGACGAAGAGUGAGUGACGGUAAUGGGUAAAGAAGCACCGGCUAACUACGUG
rnacentral:rRNA from 1 species